AACGUAGGAGGCAAGCGUUAUCCGGAGUUACUGGGCGUAAAGCGUGCGUAGGCGGAUGAGUAAGUGGGUGGUGAAAGCGCCCGGCUAAACCGGGCGAGGUUCAUUCAGACUGCUUGUCUAGAGGCGGAUAGAGGGGUGCGGAAUUCCGGGUGUAGCGGUGAAAUGUGUAGAGAUCCGGAGGAACACCAGUGGUGCAAACGGCGCCCUGGGUCCGAACUGACGCUGAUGCACGAAAGCGUGGGGAGCGAACGGG
rnacentral:rRNA from 1 species